ACAUGACAAAGUUCUGUGAAAAAAGGCAAAGUAGUCAGUAGUAGAGUAUGUUAGUUUUUAAAUAGAUACAGAACAACUGCAUCUUCUUUUCCCCUUUGUAAUCAUCACAUGAAAUCAUAUAGAAAUGAACUCAGUGGCACUACAAUCUAUUCAAUUUCCUGAUUUAUAUCUCUGCUAAGAUUUUGUUGAACAUCAUGUUAUCAAAUUGAAGAAAACAACAGAAAUUAAUAAUGGGGGAACUUAAAAACUUCAUCAUCUUCACUUUUCAAGACCUUAUGUCCAGACCUUUUGCAUCAAAUCACAUAAUCUUCUAAAUUCAAGACUCUGGAUACAGUUAAGGUUUAGUCUAGGCAUUGGCACUUUUUGAACAAACUAAGUUCUUUUUACAUUGAAAGUUAUCUCACUGCCACCGCAGUCAAGAACAAACAAUGACUGUCUUUGGUCAAGUGGAUAACAAUCCAAUCAUCAUCUAAGAGGUAACAAUACACUAAAGCCAGCCAAUCAUCUUGUGACAUAACAGACCAACAGGCCAAAGGAAGGGAUUCCUGCAUGUACCCAGCAUUCAUAGCUGUCAUUGAUUAAAACAUCAAGCACACAUAUCUGCAAAGCCCUUGCAUACCUAACAGACGUUCCAGGUGGAUACAUGUCCAGAACAAGCUUUGUCCAAGAUGUAACAUUACUUCCUGGAAUAUUUCUUUCUGACUGACUUCCUUCCACAGUAAUAACCAAGCUUCCAUUUUUGCUUGAAGCAGGCUGUCUUUGCUUAAACAUUAU